rnacentral:misc_RNA from 1 species
GCAUGUAUAAGGCCAAUUAGACAAAGUUGGCAGUAGCCAGGAAUAGGCCUGGCCACCAGUUCCAAGCAGGAACUAGCAGUUCAGGCAGCCUAGCCAGGAGAUGAACCGGAACCAGACUGGUUGGCCAAGGUUCUAGCCAGUUCCUUCUCCCAAUCAGUUUCGGUCCAGUUUAAUUCCAAUUUCGGUUCCAGUUUUGGAUGGUUUUGAUUCUGGUUCGAAAACGGUUUGGUCCAUGUUGUAUCUUUU